UACGGAGAGGGCAAGCGUUGUUCGGAGUUACUGGGCGUAAAGCGCGCGUAGGCGGUGCGGUAAGUCAGGGGUUAAAGGCUGCAGCUCAACUGCAGUAAGGCCUUUGAUACUAUCGCGCUAGAGUACCAGAGAGGAUGGCGGAAUUCCCGGUGUAGGGGUGAAAUCCGUAGAUAUCGGGAGGAACACCAGUAGCGAAGGCGGCCAUCUGGCUGGUAACUGACGCUGAGGUGCGAGAGCGUGGGGAGCAAACAGG
rnacentral:rRNA from 1 species